UAUUAAAUAAUUCGUAAUGGAUGAAUACAUAACCAUGCUGCUACAUUACUGAUUUCGUGAAACGAUAUUUAAGAAAUGGCAUUGGGAAAAAAAGGUAUCCGCAAAUAAACACAUAUAUUAAAACCCCCAAGAAUAUGUUAUAUAAAAGGACAAUCCAAGACAAUAAAAUUAAUAAAAAUAAAUGAAAAUAACCAACCCCUUUUUUGAUAACCAGAAAAACAAUGACGGGAACGAAAGAUGGGGACCACCAGUAAUCACAUUGCUAACAGAACGAAAUAUAUUAGCAAUUUAUCCAUUGCAUGUACCUCUUUUCCUUUUCUUUUAAUAGGAGAAAAUUAAAUACGCUCUUUGGCACGAGCAGCGGCAUUUCGUAAAUUAGCGUAUACUUUUCCAGGAGGUGAUCCCAAGAUUAAAGAUACGACAGCAUCCUUUGCAAUGCGAA